UAAGUAGGUCCCUGACACUAUCACUGACAUUGCAGAAUCCUUAUCAAUUCAAUCAGUAGGAAUGCCACAAUAUGGAGGACACUUCUUCCUCUUUUUCAGUAGAAAAGAGAGCUACUGAUGGAGCUGUGGGAAAAAAUGGGCUGCAGGAUGAACACAGAAUUCUGGUCUGGAUUUUGCCUGUUGUGUGACAGCAGAGGUGGCUGAAUGCCUUCAGGGAAAGGAUCAUCAGAAGCAAGUGAAAGGAUGCACGACAAAUGAUCUGGUUAUCUACAUAGGUCAAGGCAUCACAGUUUGAACAUACCUGUACUUCAGCUGGAAGGAGAGAAUAUUCACUAGGAAAUGCAUAAUGGGCAAGUCAUUGCUGUGCAGAAUGAGUUUUCAGUGAUCCUAGAACAAGACUCCACCAUAUACUGAGGUCAUCAGAAUACAAAUCUGAAAAAAACAUCACCCAGGGACUGUCUUCUAAAAGACGUAGAAAGAACAACCACAGGAGACCUUGAAAGUGCAUCAAGGAUGAAACCAGAGUCUCCUGAGCUAUAAAGUCAGAUGACCUUCAAACUAGUUUGAAUGUAACUUCCUAGAGAAUAAAGCUAUAUUCAUGAAUAAUCUUUCUUCUGAUGGAAUCAUUAUUGAAUCUCUCAGAAAGGCGUAUAUCCUAAGAAUAGGUAAGUAAAAAAAGGAAUCUCCUACUGGAAGAAACAACUUAUCUUUAAGGGAAAAAUACUUUUGUUAAAUCUUCUGCCAAUCACUAUAUAGGGGUCAUAUAACUUACAUAGCUCAUGUACAGAACUAGAGAUAGAUGAUAGUUAAGGUCCCUUCCACUGUAAACCAUUCUGGUAUUCUAUGAAUUGUGCAUCAACCUAUCAAAAUUGUCCAUAACUGAUUGAGCCAUUGGCUGAGCCAUCUUUCAAUGGUAUAAAGAAGUUUGCAACACAGUUAGUUGCACUAGUGCCAUUUUUCAGAGUUGGGCUUGCAGAGCUGAUCGCUCCAACAUCCUGCACUGUAAUGCUACUUCAGUAAAUGUUAUUUUCAGUAGCAUCAAGAGGAACUGUGUUUUAGUAGUUGGUCUUAGUUUUUGACUUACUGCUUUUGUUACUCAACCCUGAGGACUGGCCAUUAAACAUAAAUGUUGUACAUAAAUGUUGUUUUACAGAACAAAACAGAGCAACAAUAAAAAGGAUGUUCAACAAGUAUAAAAGCAGAACCAUAUGUGGCCCUGCAAAGUUGCCUCUUCCUCAGUCACAGCACCAGAAGAGAGGGUCAUCUCCCAUCACCUGGAAAAGCAAACCAAAGACAAGAACAGAAAUACUUGAUGUCGUAAAUAGAAGAAAUAGAGAGACAACACUGAGAAGAAACACAUAGUGAGAGCACAGCUUUGAGUAUGGCUGCAGGACUUCAACCUCCAUAUUUUUCUUUGCCAUAUCCCCCUUGAGUAUGCAAGUGUUCGUUUGCAUGGGGGCAAGGAGAGAAACAUAAAAAAAUAAAAAUUCUUUCUCCAUUUUUGUGUCUGGUUGACUUGAAUUCCUCUGAAAGAUGACCCUUGAAAUUAUAUAGAAAUAGAGCAGGAAUAUGUUAAAAAUGGACUAAUUUUAAAUUUCACAACAUCUAAGUCAUAGAUGUCCCCUGUAAUGUUGAUACAUGUGAUUUAUAAAUAAAUAUAAAUAGGAGAUCCUCACAAUGAGAGAAAAUGCUUGAGGUUCCAAUGUUAGCAUUCUAAAUACCUUAAACUCACACAGUUGUGUAAGUCAUAUACACUUCUGCUUUCUGGCAACUACUGCCAAGAUACUACCAUAUUACAAACGACUAUGUAAGGGAAUUCGUUAAAGUCUGUAUGGUUACAGCUACUUCAGCUGCAUGAAAAGGUAUUUCACCUACAUUCAAAAACUAAGCAGAGGAACAGUAGUAGCAAUUUCACUGAAACUGAAGGUUUGCUUUUGAAAAAAAUACAGGCGGAAAGGGCCACAAAAUCAGAACUCAAACUAAAAUCUCAAACCCAUAAAAUCAAGCAAACAUUUUAAUACAUUUUAUGUACUGUUUUGAUAUUCACUUCGCUGUUAUUUUCUUGAGGUUUAUGAAUGCAUUCUGUGCUAGUCCCACAGACACAAGCUACCACAUAAUAGCUUGGGCUGAAA